rnacentral:rRNA from 1 species
GACGAACGCUGGCGGCGUGCUUAACACAUGCAAGUCGAACGGAAAGGCCUCUUUCGGGGGGUACUCGAGUGGCGAACGGGUGAGUAACACGUGAGUAACCUGCCCGUGACUUUGGGAUAACUUCAGGAAACUGGGGCUAAUACCGGAUAGGCGCUCCUGCUGCAUGGUGGGGGCUGGAAAGUUUCGGCGGUUGGGGGUGGACUCGCGGCGUAUCAGCUUGUUGGUGGGGUAGUGGGUUACCAAGGCGUUGCCGGGUAGCCGGCCUGAGAGGGUGACCGGCCACAUUGGGACUGAGAGACGGCCCAGACGCCGACGGGAGGCAGCAGGGGGGAAUAUUGCACAAGGGGUGGAAGCCGGAUGCAGCAACGCCGUGUGCGGGAUGACGGCCUUCGGGUUGAAAACCGCUUUCGCUCAUGACGAAGCUUUGUGUGACGGUAGUGGGUAAAGAAGCACCGGCUAACUACGUG